rnacentral:rRNA from 1 species
GGGUGGUAAUACCGGAUGCUCCGCUCCAUCGCAUGGUGGGGUGGGAAAUGCUUUUGCGGCAUGGGAUGGGGUCGCGUCCUAUCAGCUUGUUGGCGGGGUGAUGGCCCACCAAGGCGUUGACGGGUAGCCGGCCUGAGAGGGUGACCGGCCACAUUGGGACUGAGAUACGGCCCAGACUCCUACGGGAGGCAGCAGUGGGGAAUAUUGCACAAUGGGCGCAAGCCUGAUGCAGCGACGCCGCGUGCGGGAUGGAGGCCUUCGGGUUGUAAACCGCUUUUGUUCAAGGGCAAGGCACGGUUUCGGCCGUGUUGAGUGGAUUGUUCGAAUAAGCACCGGCUAACUACGUGCCAGCAGCCGCGGUAAUACGUAGGGUGCGAGCGUUAUCCGGAUUUAUUGGGCGUAAAGGGCUCGUAGGCGGUUCGUCGCGUCCGGUGUGAAAGUCCAUCGCCUAACGGUGGAUCUGCGCCGGGUACGGGCGGGCUGGAGUGCGGUAGGGGAGACUGGAAUUCCCGGUGUAACGGUGGAAUGUGUAGAUAUC